rnacentral:rRNA from 1 species
UACGGAAGGCAGCAGUGGGGAAUAUUGUACAAUGGGCGCAAGCCUGAUGCAGCCAUGCCGCGUGUAUGAAGAAGGCCUUCGGGUUGUAAAGUACUUUCAGUCGUGAGGAAGGUGUUAAGGUUAAUAACCUUAGCAAUUGACGUUAGCGACAGAAGAAGCACCGGCUAACUCCGUGCCAGCAGCCGCGGUAAUACGGAGGGUGCGAGCGUUAAUCGGAAUUACUGGGCGUAAAGGGCACGCAGGCGGUUAAUUAAGUUGGAUGUGAAAUCCCCGGGCUUAACCUGGGAAUGGCAUUCAAGACUGGUUAGCUAGAGUCUUGUAGAGGGGGUAGAAUUCCAUGUGUAGCGGUGAAAUGCGUAGAGAUGUGGAGGAAUACCGGUGGCGAAGGCGGCCCCUGGACAAAGACUGACGCUCAUGUGCGAAAGCGUGGGGAGCAAACAGGGAUUAGAUACC